rnacentral:rRNA from 1 species
GGAAUAUUGCACAAUGGGCGCAAGCCUGAUGCAGCGACGCCGCGUGAGGGAUGAAGGCCUUCGGGUUGUAAACCUCUUUCGUCAGGGAACAAGGCACUGUCUUUUUGGUGGUGUUGAGGGUACCUGGAUAAGAAGCGCCGGCUAACUACGUGCCAGCAGCCGCGGUAAUACGUAGGGCGCAAGCGUUGUCCGGAAUUAUUGGGCGUAAAGAGCUCGUAGGCGGCUGGUCGCGUCUGUCGUGAAAACUUCCGGCUCAACCGGGGGCUUGCGGUGGGUACGGGCCGGCUAGAGUGCGGUAGGGGUAACUGGAACUCCUGGUGUAGCGGUGGAAUGCGCAGAUAUCAGGAAGAACACCGAUGGCGAAGGCAGGUUACUGGGCCGUUACUGACGCUGAGGAGCGAAAGCGUGGGGAGCGAACAGGAUUAGAUACCCUGGUAGUCCACGCUGUAAACGUUGGGCACUAGGUGUGAGGCUCCUUUCCGGGGGUUUUGCGCCGUAGCUAACGCAUUAAGUGCCCCGCCUGGGGAGUACGGCCGCAAGGCUAAAACUCAAAGGAAUUGACGGGGGCCCGCACAAGCGGCGGAGCAUGCGGAUUAAUUCGAUGCAACGCGAAGAACCUUACCAAGGCUUGACAUAUACUGGACCGCAUCAGAGAUGGUGUUUCCCUUCGGGGCUGGUAUACAGGUGGUGCAUGGUUGUCGUCAGCUCGUGUCGUGAGAUGUUGGGUUAAGUCCCGCAACGAGCGCAACCCUUGUCCCGUGUUGCCAGCACGUUGUGGUGGGGACUCGCGGGAGACUGCCGGGGUCAACUCGGAGGAAGGUGGGGAUGACGUCAAAUCAUCAUGCCCCUUAUGUCUUGGGCUUCACGCAUGCUACAAUGGCCGGUACAGAGGGUUGCGAUACUGUGAGGUGGAGCUAAUCCCUUAAAGCUGGUCUCAGUUCGGAUUGGUGUCUGCAACUCGACACCAUGAAGGUGGAGUCGCUAGUAAUCGCAGAUCAGCAACGCUGCGGUGAAUACGUUCUCGGGCCUUGUACACACCGCCCGUCACGUCACGAAAGUUGGCAACACCCCAAGCCCGUGGCUCUACGGGGAGCGGUUAAAGGUGGGGCUAGCGAUUGGGACGAAGUCGUAACAAGGUAGCCGUACCGGAAGGUGCGGCUG